GGCCACAGACAUAUCACCCUGCAGUGCAAGACCAGUUACUCACUGAAGCUAAUUAGGGCUGAGGCUGGUCAGUACCUGAAUAGGAGACCACAUGGGAAAAUAGGUUGCUGUUGGAA
ensembl:rRNA 5S_rRNA 5S ribosomal RNA